AAUCAACGCUGGCGGCGUGCCUAACACAUGCAAGUCGAACGCGAAAGGGGGCUUCGGCUCCUAAGUAGAGUGGCGUCCGGGUGAGUAACACGUAGGUAAUCUGCCUUCGGGUGGGGAAUAACCAGUCGAAAGAUUGGCUAAUACCGCAUAAUGCAGCGGCACCUAAUGGUGAUUAGUUGUUAAAGCGGGGGAUCGUAAGACCUCGCGCCUGAAGAGGAGCCUGCGGCAGAUUAGCUAGUUGGUGAGGUAAUGGCUCACCAAGGCUUCGAUCUGUAGCUGGUCUGAGAGGACGGCCAGCCACACUGGCACUGACACACGGGCCAGACUCCUACGGGAGGCAGCAGUGGGGAAGUUUUGGGCAAUGGGCGAAAGCCUGACCCAGCAACGCCGCGUGAGGGAGGAAAUCCUUCGGGAUGUAAACCUCACAAGCAAGGGAAGAGAGCUCAGGGCCGAAUAAGCUUUGAGUCCGACGGUACCUUGCGUAAGCCACGGCUAACU
rnacentral:rRNA from 1 species